rnacentral:lncRNA from 1 species
AGAGUCAGAAAGUGUAUUCUGUUACAUUACUAUCCGUUCACCCUUAUAUAAUCUCCUUGGGGCUGUCCCUGUUCAUUUAGGAGCAGGAGCCUGAUUUCCAAGCUGUUACUUUCCCUGCCUCCAGUACGCACCUCGCCCCGUGUCCAGACUACAGGUCCACAUUAAGAGUUCUAUUUCCUCUGCUUCCACUUCAUUCUGAUCGUCCGCAGCUUCUGCCUAACUCAGCGGGGCUUCAACCCACUGCUGGGCUACCAGACCCUUUUCCUGCGGAGGUUCCAGCCCGGCGCACGGCUCUUCAUUCCCUGGGAAGCAGGUUUCUCCCCUCCUCCAGUAUAAUCCCACGGGGCAUAAUUCACGUUGUCCGGGACCAGACUGCCCAUACUUGUGCCGUGCCCCGCCCCCCUCCUCCUCGGACAGUGACACACAACGGGAUCCAGUGUCUCCAGGGGCUGGAUCUGGUAAUGGCAGACUGCUUAUUUCUAGCAUUACCAAUGUUGCCUUACAUAGCUCCCAUGAACUACUGUGGCUUAGGUGUCUUCACUUCUCUGAAGUACAGAGUCCAGUUGAUGGUGCAUCCCAGAAUUGUCAUCCAAAUGAUGUUCUCUAGGAAAGGUCAGAUACAUUCCAGAGAUGGAGGAGCCAAGGAAGGAGGAAAAGCAGCCUGAGAACAAAGGGCCUCAGACCACAGAAGGGCAGACACAAGAGUGCCUCAUAACGAAGCAGAAGGGAGAUCAUAGUUGCUGCUGCUUCUGAGUGGAGACAAUGUUCUGUCAUGCAAGGUUGGGGAUUGUGGAGAUCAGCAGCUCCAGCAAGGCAAAGAAGCUCUGUUUGGCAGUUGCUAUCUCUUCUGUCAUUACAAGUACUGUGGCCCUUUCUGAUGUCUCUGUGUGCAUCCUGUCGAAGUCCUCACACUUCUGUUUGCUACACAAAUAAGCCACCACCUCUUGCAGCUCUCUUACCAGCUUCCUGAGAGACUCCACUAACAGACACCUCUUACACCUAGUGGUUCUCCCUGCCUGGCUUUUGCUGGCCUCCAAAGGCAGUUUGCCUGUCUGACAGGGGGAGGCAGAGGAAGAGCUAGCAGUGGUGUUGGCAACAUGCCAUUUUCCUCCCAUGCUGGGUUCUUCCUGUACCUUCAAGCUAAGGAAACAGAAAGCAACACAAGUCUACCUCCUUGCCUCCCUCCAGUGGUGAACAUGGAAAAUCCCCAGUGGAAGAACAGAAAGAGAAAAUGUCAGACUAUUUUCAGAAGAGUCAAGCAAGCUGUCUAAACAAAGGGUGCUAUUCCAUCACUACAAACAGAAGAUACAGCUGGAGGAGGGGGAGCAGAAAGG